rnacentral:rRNA from 1 species
UACGGAGGGUGCAAGCGUUGUCCGGAAUCACUGGGCGUAAAGGGCGCGUAGGCGGCUCAUGAAGGCUGUGGUGAAAAUCCGGGGCUUAACCCCGGACCUGCAUCCGAUACUCUCGGGCUAGAGGCAGACAGGGGAGAGCGGAAUUCCUGGUGUAGCGGUGAAAUGCGCAGAUAUCAGGAGGAACACCGGUGGCGAAGGCAAUCCCCUGGACCUGUACUGACGCUCAUGCACGAAAGCGUGGGGAGCAAACAGG